CACCUCCUCGAAGGGCACGUGCAGGACAUAACGGGGUUAUAUUGAAGCCUGAGAAAAUCACUUUGCCUCCAGAGUGAUAAAACCAUAGGAAAGUUUGCAAGGAAACAAACUCAGGGUAUCAAGUCACCAUCACUUUCAUAGCCAGACUGGAGCACAGGGUCCAAGUGGUUGAAUAAUUCCACCACCCCUGUCUAAAAGGGUCAAGCCAACUGUGCUUAAACAUCUCUGACCAUGGGAACCUUCAAACUUGGCUCUUCCUUUAUACAGAAGUCAGUGUCGCUGGAUCAGCAGUACCUUUAUAAGAAAGGAUGUGAAUGAUACUACACCAGCAACAUAAACAGCUGGCUCAUGUUCAUUGGAUAUUGUUGCUUCACUGAAUCACUGAAAAUUUCUUUUAGCAUUUUAAUCUGAGCCAGCUCUCCUAGGUAAAGACAUCCCACACCUCCUGCAUAUCCCUGUGAGCAACCCAUGGUCCUUACCCAUUCCAUUUACAUAGUGAAUUCUGCUCUUGUUUUUGAGCAAACCUGUAAGGAUAGAUUUAGACCUGUGCACCACAAUAUGCAGAACUGGAAAAAAAGAAAUUCUUAUUUCAAAACCAUCUAGGAGGAGGAGAGAUUCUACAUGUUGGACAGUGGGAAUGGACACUAAGAAGAUAUAAUUUUUUUUCUUCCUGUAUGGUUGUUAAAUGGUUAAAAUAAACUUAAGAGAUUCUGUG